GCACAUUUCCUGCCACUUCAAAGGAAUGGGAAAAUCAGGAUUGGUCAUUAGGGCCUUCUUGACACACUCCUUGCCAGCUGAGCACAUGUGGAGCCAUCUGUAUUUUUCUGUGGCGAUUAUGAUGUCAAGCUCAAUAGGAACAACCUUCAUGCGCACACCUACAAGCUGACAGGAGUCGAUCUCAGAAACACACAGAGGUGGAAGCCAAGAUUAAGGAAUCAGACUUGGACUACUCACUCCCUACCCUCUUCUUGGCUGAGUGUGUCCUGGUGUACAUGAACACCAGCAAGUCUUCACAGCUCUUACAGUGGAUUGCAGAAAAGUUUAAGUCUGCCUUCUUUGUAAAUUAUGAAAUGGUCAAUCUUGGUGACAGAUUUGGAGAAUUUAUGGAAAAGC